GAUGAACGCUGGCGGCGUGCCUAAUACAUGCAAGUAGAACGCUGAAGCUUGGUGCUUGCACCGAGCGGAUGAGUUGCGAACGGGUGAGUAACGCGUAGGUAACCUGCCUGGUAGCGGGGGAUAACUAUUGGAAACGAUAGCUAAUACCGCAUGACAACAGUUAUUGCAUGAUAACUGUUUAAAAGGGGCAAUUGCUCCACUACCAGAUGGACCUGCGUUGUAUUAGCUAGUUGGUGAGGUAACGGCUCACCAAGGCGACGAUACAUAGCCGACCUGAGAGGGUGAUCGGCCACACUGGGACUGAGACACGGCCCAGACUCCUACGGGAGGCAGCAGUAGGGAAUCUUCGGCAAUGGACGGAAGUCUGACCGAGCAACGCCGCGUGAGUGAAGAAGGUUUUCGGAUCGUAAAGCUCUGUUGUAAGAGAAGAACGAGUGUGAGAGUGGAAAGUUCACACUGUGACGGUAUCUUACCAGAAAGAGACGGCUAACUACGUG
rnacentral:rRNA from 1 species